rnacentral:snRNA from 1 species
GGAUGUGAGGGUGACCUGGAUGGGACAUCUGUCACCCCAUUGACUGCCAGGGUUGAUUCUUCUGGUCUGGUUGGCUGGGUGGGUGUCCCCUUCUUCCCUCAAUGCUCCAUGAGCCUCCCUCCCGAAGCUCAGUCAAAGAAGACAACCACACCCCAUAGAGGAAGACCAUUCCCUGCUCAAGGGUAAAUGAGUUGCUGGGCUCCCCUUCAAGAACGUCCAAAUAAGCUCUCAACACUGGAAAGUUUAUGUCUUGUCCCCUGGGGUAGGGUGGCUUUGGUUACCUUGGAUUGGGUCUUUUAACUUAGAUUCUGUUGCAGUGUUUUAUGAUU